rnacentral:tRNA from 1 species
AAAGUCUUAAGUUAAUUAAAACUAUAAAUUUUCAAAAUUUAAAAUAUGGAGUAUGAGAUUAGAUUUUA